GACUUUAUCUUGGGGCGAUGAUGCAACCAGUGAGGUUCUAAUCGAGGCACGUCUAAUGCUGGUUGAAAUUAGAAUUAAAAUAUUUCCAAACCCCCUCUUCGGACUGGAUUCACCUUUGGCUGUCGACAAUUUUCGAAAGGGCUCUUCGGGAGUAAAGCC